CGUAAUCAUUUGUUCUUUAAAUAAGGACCUGUAUGAACGGCUACAUGAGGAUUAACUUGUCUCUUACACCGAAUCGAUGAAACUGAUCCCCCAGUCCAAAAGCUGGGAUAUUAACAUAAGACGAGAAGACCCUGUGGAGCUUUAAACUGCCUACCACACAGUUUGACCUGGCAUGUUUUUAGUUGGGGCGACUUUGGAGACAAACAAAACAUCCAAACACAUUAACCCGAGGCUUACACGCCACCGCACCCCCUACCAGACCCAAUAAAAUUGAACAAUGGACCAAGUUACCCCAGGGAUAACAGCGCAAUCUUCUUCUAGAGUCCCUAUCGACAAGAAGGUUUACGACCUCGAUGUUGGAUCAGGAUAUCCAAAUAGUGCAGCCGCCAUUAAAGGUUCGUUUGUUCAACGAUUAAUAUCCU
rnacentral:rRNA from 1 species